rnacentral:rRNA from 1 species
AUUGAACGCUGGCGGCAUGCUUUACACAUGCAAGUCGAACGGUAACAGGUUAAGCUGACGAGCGGCGAACGGGUGAGUAAUGCAUCGGAACGUGCCCGAUCGUGGGGGAUAACGCAGCGAAAGCUGCGCUAAUACCGCAUACGAUCUGAGGAUGAAAGCGGGGGACCGUAAGGCCUCGCGCGAUCGGAGCGGCCGAUGGCGGAUUAGGGAGUUGGUGGGGUAAAGGCCCACCAAGCCGACGAUCUGUAGCUGGUCCGAGAGGACGACCAGACACACUGGGACUGAGACACGGCCAAGACUCCUACGGGAGGCAGCAGUGGGGAAUUUUGGACAAUGGGCGAAAGCCUGAUCCAGCAAUGCCGCGUGCAGGAAGAAGGCCUUCGGGUUGUAAACUGCUUUUGUACGGAGCGAAAAGGUCCUUUCUAAUACAGGGGGCUCAUGACGGUACCGUAAGAAUAAGCACCGGCUAACUACGUGCCAGCAGGCGCCGUAA